ensembl:lncRNA
UAGAGAUUGGGUUAAGUCUAUAUUUUUGGACAGUAAUGUUGAUCCAGGAUCAACAAAAGAUGUUGAUCCAGGAACAUGUCUUACUUGGCAAAAUCACGGCAACCAGUCGAAGGCACAGAAACAGAAGGUUUUAAUAUUUAAUCAAACACAUAAUGACUGAUUGCGUACCGUAUCUGUCUCUCUCUCUCAGCUCUUGGAUUGGAGCUUUACCCCCUGAGGAGGUUCACAGUGCUCCAUUGAGAGCCUGGGACCAUGUUAAUUCACUCAGCUGGACCAGAGUGAAACCACGGUGGUAUCAUUCUGUGAGAGGAGGAGAACUCUAUAAGUGAAGAAUAAAGACGCAGUGAGAGCAAAUGGAGCGUGCAAUUCACUCUAUGCAAGAUCCAGAGCCCCUCCCCAGCCCCCCGCAGAGCCGCAGCCCAGCCGAGAGCAGCGCUACACGGGCUCAACCCCGACCAGCUGCAGGCUCCUGGAGCUCCACACAGAGAGAGAAGAAAAUAGAAAAAACUUGUGUGCGAAUGUGAAAAAGAGAGAGAGA